GCGGCGGAGCGGCGGGAUGCGGCAGGGCCGGGCCGCAGGGCUGGCGGCGCUGGCCGCGGUGCUCCUGGUGGCUGUGGGCAGAGCCCAGGUGCAGCAGGAACCAUGGGCAGAGACCACCGAGGGCACCAGCAUCAAUAUCACCUGCUCACACCCCAACAUCCAGACUGGUGAAGUCAUCCACUGGUACCGCCAUCUCCCGGGCCAAGGACCCGCAUUCCUAGUGUUCGGUACUGGAGGCUCCAGAGCACUGACGGACCUGCCGGGCUGGCUCGUGGUGGCAGCAGACCGCCGGUCCAGCGCCCUGUGGCUCACCAAGCCCCGGCUUCGGGACGCGGCGGUGUAUUACUGCGCCCUGAGAGCCACGGGGAGAGGAGCCGGGGCUGCGGCCGUGCAGGAACCGUGGCGGGCGGGGCCGGGCGUGUGUGGCGGGGGGGGAGGCAGGGGCACAGGUCCCAGGCGGCGCUGCCGCUCUGCCGGCGGGGGCCGUCUUACGGUACAGGCGCGGAGGUUCCCCCGCCAGUCCAGCCCUGGCCUGGACCGGUCCUGCUGAGGCCCAUUAGUUCUUCCGGGUAGGUCGCUGGGGGUCUGAUGUGGGUCAGACCCAGCUACGUGUGAGAGGUCAGGACGGCACACCCAGCGAUGUUGGGCUUCUUUCCGUACCAGAAGCCACUUUUGCAGAAGCUCUUCUUCAGUGAAUACAAGCAACACUUUAACUCCACUUCCAACAAACUGCUCUCCUUCCUUCAGACUCAAUCUCAACUGCUUCAUGGCCACUUUGAUCCACCUUUGUCCUUUCUUCACCUUUAGCUUUGGGAAAUCCUUUUGUUCUAUGCGUGUCCCUCUCCUUCCCUGGCCUUUCCCCCACUUCUACAUUCUUCCUGGACAGCUCAGGACGGACUAUGCAGAGGGAAAAAAUAUUUACAGUCAAGGCUGGGAUGCACAAAUCUUUAAUGAGUAUACAGAGAAAAAGGAGGUCACUCCAAGCAGAAGCCCCUCAGUGCAGGGAUCACCAGGGCCAAUCAAAAGGCCUACUGUCCCUUGCCUAUGGUGGAGAUCAUGCAGGGCAUGUGUCUGCUGUUCCUGCAGUGGGAGGGCUGGCUCUGAGAAGCAACACAGCCCAAGGAAGAAACACAAAGAAAAGGGAGAGAAGAAGGUAGGUGAAGGGAUGGAAGGAGGGGCAUGGGCUGUGUUUUCAGAAAUUUCAGGGUAGACACUGGGCUGGAUCCUGCCAAUAUUUGCCAGAGUAGCUAAGGAAUGUCAGUCAUUCUGAAAGCAACGGCCUGAAGAUUCCUCCUUUGUGUAGCACCAUAUACGAAGUUCCUGGGAGAAGAACCCCAGGGCCAUGGCCACUGGCUUCUUUAGCAGGGCAGGCACCUUCUGCCACAGUAGCGGCUGGAAAUGCCAGAGAGGUCACAGCAGCCAGAGGUGAUGGGGACU